UACGAGGGGAGCAAGCGUUGUUCGGAUUUACUGGGCGUGAAGGGCGCGUAGGCGGUCGUGACAAGUCACUUGUGAAAUCUCCGGGCUUAACUCGGAACGGUCAAGUGAUACUGUCGGACUAGAGUACAGAAGGGGCAACUGGAAUUCUCGGUGUAGCGGUGAAAUGCGUAGAUAUCGAGAGGAACACCUGCGGCGAAGGCGGGUUGCUGGGCUGAUACUGACGCUGAUGCGCGAAAGCCAGGGGAGCGAACGGG
rnacentral:rRNA from 1 species